AGGCGCGUAGCUCAGUGGUAGAGCACUACCUUGACACGGUAGGGGUCCCCGGUUCAAGCCCGGGCGCGCCUA
rnacentral:tRNA from 1 species